rnacentral:tRNA from 1 species
GCCGCAUUGGAGUAACGGUUAUCUCAUCUGAUUCUCAAUCAGAAGACUACGGGUUCGAUUCCCGUAUGCGGUAC